AGAUUUUGAAGAAGUUCGCGUAGAUUAUAUUUAUAAAUCAUGAUGCUGUUAACUUCAGGAA
rnacentral:tRNA from 1 species